GACGAACGCUGGCGGCGUGCCUAAUACAUGCAAGUUGAGCGCUGAAGGUUGGUACUUGUACCAACUGGAUGAGCAGCGAACGGGUGAGUAACGCGUGGGGAAUCUGCCUUUGAGCGGGGGACAACAUUUGGAAACGAAUGCUAAUACCGCAUAAAAACUUUAAACACAAGUUUUAAGUUUGAAAGAUGCAAUUGCAUCACUCAAAGAUGAUCCCGCGUUGUAUUAGCUAGUUGGUGAGGUAAAGGCUCACCAAGGCGAUGAUACAUAGCCGACCUGAGAGGGUGAUCGGCCACAUUGGGACUGAGACACGGCCCAAACUCCUACGGGAGGCAGCAGUAGGGAAUCUUCGGCAAUGGACGAAAGUCUGACCGAGCAACGCCGCGGGAGUGAAGAAGGUUUUCGGAUCGUAAAACUCUGUUAGUAGAGAAGAACGUUGGUGAGAGUGGAAAGCUCAUCAAGUGACGGUAACUACCCAGAAAGGGACGGCUAACUACGUG
rnacentral:rRNA from 1 species